CACGUAGGGGGCGAGCGUUGUCCGGAUUUAUUGGGCGUAAAGAGCUCGUAGGCGGUUCUGUAAGUCGGGUGUGAAAACUCUGGGCUCAACCCAGAGACGCCACUCGAUACUGCGGUGACUUGAGUCCGGUAGGGGAGUGCGGAAUUCCUGGUGUAGCGGUGAAAUGCGCAGAUAUCAGGAGGAACACCGACGGCGAAGGCAGCACUCUGGGCCGGUACUGACGCUGAGGAGCGAAAGCGUGGGGAGCGAACAGG
rnacentral:rRNA from 1 species